GAUGAACGCUGGCGGCGUGCCUAAUACAUGCAAGUCGAGCGAAUGGAUUAAGAGCUUGCUCUUAUGAAGUUAGCGGCGGACGGGUGAGUAACACGUGGGUAACCUGCCCAUAAGACUGGGAUAACUCCGGGAAACCGGGGCUAAUACCGGAUAACAUUUUGAACCGUAUGGUUCGAAAUUGAAAGGCGGCUUCGGCUGUCGCUUAUGGAUGGACCCGCGUCGCAUUAGCUAGUUGGUGAGGUAACGGCUCACCAAGGCAACGAUGCGUAGCCGACCUGAGAGGGUGAUCGGCCACACUGGGACUGAGACACGGCCCAGACUCCUCCGGGAGGCAGCAGUAGGGAAUCUUCCGCAAUGGACGAAAGUCCGACGGAGCAACGCCGCGUGAGUGAUGAAGGCUUUCGGGUCGUAAAACUCUGUUGUUAGGGAAGAACAAGUGCUAGUUGAAUAAGCUGGCACCUUGACGGUACCUAACCAGAAAGCCACGGCUAACUACGUGCCAGCCGCCGCCGUAA
rnacentral:rRNA from 1 species